rnacentral:rRNA from 1 species
UACGUAGGGGGCAAGCGUUGUCCGGAUUCAUUGGGCGUAAAGAGCGUGUAGGCGGCCAGGUAGGUCGGUUGUGAAAACCGGAGGCUCAACCUCCGGCCUGCAGUGGGUACGGGCAAACUAGAGUGCGGUAGGGGAGAUUGGAAUUCCUGGUGUAGCGGUGGAAUGCGCAGAUAUCAGGAGGAACACCGAUGGCGAAGGCAGAUCUCUGGGCCGUAACUGACGCUGAGGAGCGAAAGCGUGGGGAGCGAACAGG